CCUACGGGAGACAGCAGUGGGGAAUAUUGCACAAUGGUGGAAACCCUGAUGCAGCGACGCCGCGUGAGUGAGGAAGUAAUUCGUUAUGGAAAGCUCUAUCAGCAGGGAAGAAAAGGACGGUACCUGUGUCAGAAUCCCCGUCUAAAUACGUGCCACAAGCCCCGGUAAUACGUAGGGGGCAACCGUUAUCCGGAUUUACCGGGUGUAAAGGGAGCGUAGACGGCAGUGCAAGUCUGGAGUGAAAGGCGGGGGCUCAACCCCCGGACUGGUCUGGAAACUGUACGGCUGGAGUGCAGGAGAGGUAAGUGGAAUUCCUAGUGUAGCGGUGAAAUGCGUAGAGAUUAGGAGGAACACCAGUGGCGAAGGCGGCUUACUGGACUGUAACUGACGUUGAGGCUCGAAAGCGUGGGGAGCAAACAGGAUUAGAUACCCCAGUAGUC
rnacentral:rRNA from 1 species